CGAUUGAACGCUGGCGGCAUGCCUUACACAUGCAAGUCGAACGGCAGCACGGGAGCAAUCCUGGUGGCGAGUGGCGAACGGGUGAGUAAUAUAUCGGAACGUGCCCAGUCGUGGGGGAUAACGCAGCGAAAGCUGUGCUAAUACCGCAUACGAUCUAUGGAUGAAAGCGGGGGAUCGCAAGACCUCGCGCGAUUGGAGCGGCCGAUAUCAGAUUAGCUAGUUGGUGGGUAAAAGCCUACCAAGGCGACGAUCUGUAGCUGGUCUGAGAGGACGACCAGCCACACUGGAACUGAGACACGGUCCAGACUCCUACGGGAGGCAGCAGGUGGGAAUUUUGGACAAUGGGCGAAAGCCUGAUCCAGCAAUGCCGCGUGAGUGAGUGAAGGUCCGUUAGGUUGUAAAGCUUCGUUUUUACCGAGUAUAGACUAAUAGAACUAGUAACGUACGGGAAGUAAUAACGG
rnacentral:rRNA from 1 species